rnacentral:rRNA from 1 species
AUUGAACGCUGGCGGCAGGCUUAACACAUGCAAGUCGAGCGGAGCGAGGGUGCUUGCACCUUAGCUUAGCGGCGGACGGGUGAGUAAUGCUUAGGAAUCUGCCUAUUAGUGGGGGACAACAUUCCGAAAGGAAUGCUAAUACCGCAUACGCCCUACGGGGGAAAGCAGGGGAUCUUCGGACCUUUCGCUAAUAGAUGAGCCUAAUUCGGGUUAGCUAGUUGGUGGGGUAAAGGCCUACCAAGGCGACGAUCGGUAGCGGGUCUGAGAGGAUGAUCCGCCACACUGGGACUGAGACACGGCCCAGACUCCUACGGGAGGCAGCAGUGGGGAAUAUUGGACAAUGGCGGAAGCCUGAUCCAGCCAUGCCGCGUGUGUGAAGAAGGCCUUUUGGUUGUAAAGCACUUUAAGCGAGGAGGAGGCUCUUAAGGUUAAUACCCUUGAUGAGUGGACGUUACUCGCAGAAUAAGCACCGGCUAACUCUGUGCCAGCCGCCGCAGUAAGAC